rnacentral:lncRNA from 1 species
AAAUAUUUACAAGCAGCACAAUAAUUGUCGAAAUAAAAAUCCAAAGUAUUCAAACAUCAAAAUACAUCGGGGCACUGAGGCCUAUCAGACAUAGCUCACACCUCUGGGGUAUUCUCGGCAGACCUGUACAAAAUCACUGCCCCAAGAAUUUUAACUCCCCACACGUCACAUCAAAAAGUGGUACAUGGACCCAUCAAAAUAAAAGUCAAACUAACAAUAUUAGUAUCGGUACAAUCUUCCAACAUACAAUAAAUACAUACACGAAUGAAAGACCUCUAGCCCCAAUACAACCGUCUAAUCUGAUCACACUAGAAAAACUAUACGACCUGAGUGAUCUCCACACGACCCGCAAGAUCCUCCUAACGCAGCUCCAGUCAGGUGUGUCCAACUACUUCCCCAUCUACAUGAUACUAACCGGUGGGAAGAUCCUGGUUCUCGUCUGAGGGCAAAGCCCAGAUUUCCACAAUAAUUGUAAAGGGUCACCAACCGAAAUUAACAAAUAUCACAUAGAAUUUAAAUUUCAAAUGCAUAAAAUAACCUUUCAACUUAGCAUACUCUUUGAAAGAGUUUUCAUAUGUCCAAAAACGCAUAAACGAUGUUGAAAAAUGAAGUUUUAACAAACUGCACUGUCAUAGUCGAAUACAACUGAGAAAAUGCAGAUUUUCAGUUCUAAAAUGAAUCUGAAUCAAUCAACACUUCAAACAUUAAUAUUGUCAAUUAUGAACACAUAAUUAACACCAAAUUAUUCUCCACAAAUUCACACAUCAAUUACACAUCGAAUAUUCAUAACAUCAAUUAUGAACACAUAAGUACAUCAAAACUUAAUCAACCCAACUUCACACCACUAAGAAAUUACGGCAAUCCACACAAAUUGAAUUAAUUUCAUUUUCCACCAAUCCACACAUAAAUCACAUUUCCAAAUUCAAUCCACACAAAUUGAAUUAAUUUCAUUUUCCACCAAUCCACACACAAAUUGAAUUAAAUUCUUUUUCCACCAAUCCACACCUAAGUUUUUUCUCAAAACUUCAUAAUAUUAAUUAUGAACACAUCAAUUUCACCAAACAUGAGUCACUAUAAUUUUCAAACAUUAAUCACUCAUAUUCAAUCUCCAAAAUUUUCAACCAUAAAUCACCACAACAACAUUAAUAUAUCAGAGUUCUCCCCACCGCUAACUCGGUGCCAACGGUCUCGAUUCCUUUUCGAAACUCAAGGAACUAACUACAUAAACAUGAAUAUUUAUAACAAUUUAUUCACAAUAAAACUAAUCCAAACACAUAAAAAUUCCCAAAAUUAAAUCUUUCUCACACACGAAACUUUUAAAACUAAAUAAUCUAUAUUAUUUACUUAAAACUAAAUAAAAUAAAUAUUGUCCAAAUUUUAUAUACACAUUAUCGACUAUUAAAUCACCGAAAUUUUUGAGUUAAUAAAAUACUCUAAACUUUUUUUUUUCUUUUUAAACUCAGUUCAAGAGUAAUUAAAAGAGUAACAUUUUAAACUCUAACUAUUGUUAAUUUCAAUCUAUCUUUUUGCUCAAACUCUUUAACUUAGUUAAAAUUUGAAAUUUUUCACAACUUUAACAACUCUAAAUUUUCCGUAAAAUUUCAACUUCAGUUCAAACUCAUUUAUUUGAAAAUAACUUAUUACGUAACUCACACAUCAAAUUUAAUAACCGCCAACUCACACCAACAAUAAUCAAUUCAAAUCCACAACACACAUAUAGCACCUCAAUUAAAUUUCAAACAAUUCAAACAUAACUCACCCAAUUUAAAAACUCCACAUUUUUACACAUAACCCACCAAAUUUCAUCAAUUCAUUUUCCACAAAAUCCGCAAAUAAAUCAAAUCUCAAAAAUUCAUAAUAAUAAUUAUGAACAUAUAAAUCACAUCAAAUAUGGAUCACCACAAACCACACCUCAAAUUUAAAUUCCUCUAAAUCACACAUAAUCGCAUUAAAUUCAUUUUCUACAAAUUCACACAUCAAAUACAUCAAAUUUCUUUUCCACAAAAUCAUAAAUAAUGUCCUAAAUGCAAACUAAACGUUUAGAAAAAGCUCUUACCUUAACGAUAGCUCUAACACGCGAUUACGGUACCGUAAUUAAUUUCGGUAAAAUUUAAGUUCGUGACACCGCGUCGAAAACUAGCUCACUAGUACCGCAGCGUUGCAAUGAACAACUUUUUCUUCUGUCACUUCUCGAAACGAAGCUUAGAUCUAGGAGAAAAGUGAAGGUUUUUGUGUUUGUGGGUUUUGAAAACAAAUAAUAUUUAGAAACAGUGAAGGAGGAAGAAGAAAGGAAUCUCGCGAGGCAAUGUUUUCAUUAUGUU